AAGUCGUAACAAGGUUUCCGUAGGUGAACCUGCGGAAGGAUCAUUACAAAUCUCUUUGUCUUGCCUUAGGAGGCGUCCGUCUUUGGGCGCUGACUGGCAGACACAUAUGCACAGGGCCGCAAGGCUCUGAUGUUUACGCUUGUUUGUUUGACAGAUUUAUUAUGUGACUAAACUUGACAACUUUUAACAAUGGAUCUCUUGGCUCUU
rnacentral:misc_RNA from 1 species